rnacentral:misc_RNA from 1 species
AACGCACAUUGCGCCCACCAGCAUUCUGGUGGGCAUGCCUAUUCGAGCGUCAUUGCAACCCCUUAAGCCUUGUAGCUUAGCGUUGGGGGACCACGCCUCCGCGGCGUGGCCCCUGAAAAGCAGUGGCGGCGCCGGCGAGCACCCUCAGCGUAGUACUUCUUCUCGCUUCGGGGGCCUGCCGCUGGCUGCUGGCCGUAAAAACCCCUAUACUCUUAGUGGUUGACCUCGAAUUAGGUAGGAAUACCCGCUGAACUUAA